rnacentral:lncRNA from 1 species
AGGGCUGGGAGUGCCCCAGGAUGGAUCUGAGGAGGAGGAAUGGCCCACCCUGGAAAAGGCAGCCAAAAUGACCGGAGUGGACCACCAAGCAGAGGUGGUUGUGGACCCUGAAGAUGAAUGGGCCGUUGAAAUAUUUAUGAAUAAGAACCCUCCUAUGAGGAAAGGCUGCCCAGCCCAGAAGCCCUGCACACUUGCCAGUCUACCAGCCCAGAACCUGCGGAAGCGACCCGGCUCUCAGCGCCACAGCGGACUUUGGUAUCUCCACCCACACAUACAUGGAGACACUACGUGUGUGUUCGCAGCUCAAGGAUCGCUUGGAGGACGAGGAGAUGGAAUGCGCUCCAUCUGAGGCACCUACUCCACACAGGCCUCGAUCCAAGUCAGCACUUCCUGCUCACAAGGAUAGUCAGCACCCUGAGAGUGGACAAUCCCUGCUCUUCAAGCGCUCUGUAGGCCCUAGCCUGAGGACAACUGUGGGGCUGUUCAUCUGAAUUUGGGAUUUGAGCCUUUUGUCACAGUCAUGGUCACGUUCUUGUGCUCACUUCCUUUGCUUUUUUUCAUGCAAAACUGUUUUAUUAGAAUCUGUAGAAUGGUGGGGGAAAUAAUAUCCCGCUUAAAUCACUCUCAAAACCAGAGAGGGAUCACAACUGAAUAGUGAGAACACUGUAUGCUCAACACAAGUUCAUUCUUCCAUCAACAUUAUUGUUCAAAAAGAAAUGUAUGUGAAUAUGGUAUAAAUCUUCAAGUCACACAAGGAAAAGACAGACCUGGAACACACCUCAUCCAGUCCAUUAUGCUCUGUGUACUAUCCUGACUUUAGAUCCUUCCCUGUGUCUAUGGUCUUUCAUACCCUGAUUGUGCUGGGAUACAAUCCCUACCAUUUUCCAAUCUUUUCCUGACCAUGGUUGGGCCUUCACUGUUGGCCCUCAGCUGAUAAGGAGCCCCUGAUUCUCCAGGGACACACCUCUCUCUUGUCUGAAUCAAUGAAACAUUGUUUUUAAAUAAAUCCAAAUCCCCUUGAACAGUCAUUCUGUGUCUCUAAUGCAUCACUUGAGUCCUGGCCUUCAUUUCUCAGAGCCCAACAGUAAUCUGUCAUUUAUACCCAAUAGGAACAUAGUGAGAACUCCA